GGGCGGUUAGCUCAGUUGGCUAGAGCGACUCAUUGACGUUGAGUAGGUCAUAGGUUCGAGUCCUAUACCGCCCA
rfam:Parcubacteria (Yanofskybacteria) bacterium GW2011_GWA1_39_13 TT29_C0001, whole genome shotgun sequence.